rnacentral:rRNA from 1 species
GAUGAACGCUGGCGGCGUGCCUAAUACAUGCAAGUCGAGCGAACGGACGAGAAGCUUGCUUCUCUGAUGUUAGCGGCGGACGGGUGAGUAACACGUGGAUAACCUACCUAUAAGACUGGGAUAACUUCGGGAAACCGGAGCUAAUACCGGAUAAUAUUUUGAACCGCAUGGUUCAAAAGUGAAAGACGGUCUUGCUGUCACUUAUAGAUGGAUCCGCGCUGCAUUAGCUAGUUGGUAAGGUAACGGCUUACCAAGGCAACGAUGCAUAGCCGACCUGAGAGGGUGAUCGGCCACACUGGAACUGAGACACGGUCCAGACUCCUACGGGAGGCAGCAGUAGGGAAUCUUCCGCAAUGGGCGAAAGCCUGACGGAGCAACGCCGCGUGAGUGAUGAAGGUCUUCGGAUCGUAAAACUCUGUCAUUAGGGAAGAACAUAUGUGUAAGUAACUGUGCACAUCUUGACGGUACCUAAUCAGAAAGCCACGGCUAACUGCGUG